UACGGGGGGGGCAAGCGUUGUUCGGAAUUACUGGGCGUAAAGGGCUCGUAGGCGGCCAACUAAGUCAGACGUGAAAUCCCCAGGCUCAACCCGGGAACUGCGUCCGAUACUGGUAGGCUUGAAUUCGGGAGAGGGAUGCGGAAUUCCAGGUGUAGCGGUGAAAUGCGUAGAUAUCUGGAGGAACACCGGUGGCGAAGGCGGCAUCCGUGGACCGACAUUGACGCUGAGGCGCGAAAGCCAGGGGAGCAAACGGG
rnacentral:rRNA from 1 species